CUUCCUGGUUAUACUCAACCAUCACAACCAGUCCUGCCCAAGAGACAAGAGCCUUUCCUGAAAAAUUGGUGUGGCUGACAUACACCAUGUCAGGUCCUGAAUUUCCCUGAAAGUUCCCCUUAUUUCAUGAAGAACUUGAUUUAAAUCUUGGUUCUUACUCUACUUGGUCAAUUACAUACUCAGGUAACACUGGGAUUUAGAGCCCUCUUAUAAAACAUUCUGAAAAGUCCAGAUUUUUACUGUGUGGCUCAGAGAAGUUUCAUAAAAUUUAAAGCAAACAUGUAAAGGUUAAACAUUUAUAGGUGCUCUCUGUUUUAAACAAAUUUCACU
rnacentral:lncRNA from 1 species